rnacentral:rRNA from 1 species
GGGAGACUAUGAGGCAUGCACGCCAGUGUGUGUGUGGAGUCAUUGGUGAAAUACCACUCUGGCCAUAGUGGAUUCCUGAACUUCGGGCCCUGAUCGGGUCCAGGGACAGUGCCUGAUGGGUAGUUUAACUGGGGCGGUUGCCUCCCAAAGAGUAACGGAGGCGCCCAAAGGUUCCCUCAGCCUGGUUGGCAAUCAGGUGGUGAGUGUAAGUGCACAAGGGAGCUUGACUGUGAGACGGACGUGUCGAGCAGGAGCGAAAGCUGGGACUAGUGACCCGGCCAUGGCUUGUGGAAGCGUGGUCGCUCAACGGAUAAAAGGUACCUCGGGGAUAACAGGCUGAUCUUGCCCAAGAGUCCAUAUCGACGGCAUGGUUUGGCACCUCGAUGUCGGCUCGUCGCAUCCUGGGGCUGGAGUCGGUCCCAAGGGUUGGGCUGUUCGCCCAUUAAAGCGGUACGCGAGCUGGGUUUAGAACGUCGUGAGACAGUUCGGUCCCUAUCCGCUGCGUGCGUAGGAAAUCUGAGAAGGGCUGUCCUUAGUACGAGAGGACCGGGACGGACGAACCUCUGGUGUGCCAGUUGUACCGCCAGGUGCAUGGCUGGUUGGCUACGUUCGGGAAGGAUAACCGCUGAAAGCAUCUAAGCGGGAAGCCUGCUUCAAGAUGAGAUUUCCCCUGAGGUGUCCAGUAGACGACUGGGUUGAUAGGCCAGAUGUGGAAACACAGCAAUGUGCGCAGCUGACUGGUACUAAUACACCAAUCACUCACCCAACAA